rnacentral:rRNA from 1 species
UACGUAGGGGGCUAGCGUUGUCCGGAAUCAUUGGGCGUAAAGAGCGCGUAGGCGGCCAGAUAAGUCCGGUGUGAAAGUCACAGGCUCAACCUGUGAAUGCCGCUGGAAACUGUCUGGCUAGAGUCCGGGAGGGGCGAGUGGAAUUCCUGGUGUAGCGGUGAAAUGCGCAGAUAUCAGGAGGAACACCAAUUGCGAAGGCAGCUCGCUGGGACGUGACUGACGCUGAGACGCGAAAGCGUGGGGAGCAAACAGG